rnacentral:rRNA from 1 species
AUUGAACGCUGGCGGCAGGCCUAACACAUGCAAGUCGAACGGUAACAGGAAGCAGCUUGCUGCUUUGCUGACGAGUGGCGGACGGGUGAGUAAUGUCUGGGAAACUGCCUGAUGGAGGGGGAUAACUACUGGAAACGGUAGCUAAUACCGCAUAACGUCGCAAGACCAAAGAGGGGGACCUUCGGGCCUCUUGCCAUCGGAUGUGCCCAGAUGGGAUUAGCUUGCUGGUGGGGUAACGGCUCACCAAGGCGACGAUCCCUAGCUGGUCUGAGAGGAUGACCAGCCACACUGGAACUGAGACACGGUCCAGACUCCUACGGGAGGCAGCAGUGGGGAAUAUUGCACAAUGGGCGCAAGCCUGAUGCAGCCAUGCCGCGUGUAUGAAGAAGGCCUUCGGGUUGUAAAGUACUUUCAGCGGGGAGGAAGGGAGUAAAGUUAAUACCUUUACUCAUUGACGUUACCCGCAGAAGAAGCACCGGCUAACUCCGUG